GUCGACGGGCUCUUCGGAGCAAGUGGCGGACGGGUGAGUAACGCGUGAGAAUGUGCCUUGAGGAUGGGGAUAACAAUAGGAAACUAAUGCUAAGACCCAAUGUGCCUUAAGUGGUGAAAAAUGAAAAUUGCCUGAAGAGGAGCUCGCGUCUGAUUAGCUAGUUGGGGUGGUAAAAGCGCACCAAGGCGACGAUCAGUAGCUGGUCUGAGAGGAUGAGCAGCCACACUGGGACUGAGACACGGCCCAGACUCCUACGGGAGGCAGCAGUGGGGAAUUUUCCGCAAUGGGCGAAAGCCUGACGGAGCAAUACCGCGUGAGGGAGGAAGGCUCUUGGGUUGUAAACCUCAAAACUUAGGGAAGAAAAAAAUGACGGUACCUAAUUUAAGCAUCGGCUAACUCCGUGCCAGCAGCCGCGGUAAUACG
rnacentral:rRNA from 1 species